ACUGGGGGCAGUGGUGAGUGCCUGAGGUCCUAGCUCCUUGGGAGGCUGAGGCAGGAGGAUUGCUUGAGCCCAGGAGUUUAAGACAAACCUGGGCAACAUUGUCAGGACCCCAUCUCAA
rnacentral:sRNA from 1 species